CACGUAGGGGGCGAGCGUUGUCCGGAUUUAUUGGGCGUAAAGAGCUCGUAGGCGGCUCAGUAAGUCGGGUGUGAAAACUCCAGGCUCAACCUGGAGACGCCACCUGAUACUGCUGUGGCUAGAGUCCGGUAGGGGAGCAUGGAAUUCCUGGUGUAGCGGUGAAAUGCGUAGAUAUCGAGAGGAACACCUGCGGCGAAGGCGGGUUGCUGGGCUGAUACUGACGCUGAGUGCGACGA
rnacentral:rRNA from 1 species